rnacentral:lncRNA from 1 species
AGAAGAAAGCAUUAGAUGACAUGGGAUUGGAGUUAGAGAUGCUUGUGAACCCCUCAGUGUAGGUUUGAUUAACUGCUGAGACAUCUUCCCAGCCUCAUGAAGAAAUCCAUUUAAUUUUAUAUAUGGGGACACAAGAGAAAAAAAUAAGACAAUUCUAUUUCCUUGCUGUGAAUUUUCUUCUAUCUUCCAAAACUGUGUUUGGGCCACAAUGAAUUCUUCUAAAGCUCCUUUAUGAUAAAAUCUUGGAAGAAAAGGAACAACACAAACAUCUUCUACCCUAUGAAAAAAAAAUCUGUACAAAUGCCUCUGCCUCUGCCGCUAGCUUCACACGUGAUGGGGAAAGCCUGAAUGGGGUCAAGUUCAGAAGAAGUCUUCUCUGGCUACUGGCAUUCAGUCCCAUCCUGGAAGUGCCAGCUAGAGCCGUAAAGAACAUUCGACUGAAGCCAUACAGAUGGCUAAGCAGUGAGUAGAAAGGUACUCGUUUUGAGGCCUCAUCAUGAUGUCCAUGCAGAGCACACCAAAGUGUGCACGGAAUGAAUGUGUGAGACAAAGAAGUGAAUUUGAAAACCUCAUAGGGCACAUUGACAGCCCAGGAUUCCGCUGCUUUUGUACACAGUGGUGACAAUAAGUGGGGAAGUAGUGAGAAAAUGAUGCCAUAGCAAGAAUUAGAAAUUAAUUGCUUAAAGCAUGAGUGGAACAGUAUGCCUGGGUCCUUGACCUGAAAUUGUCUAGGGCAUAAGGAAGGGCAUACUAAAGAUCAGAGAGGCAUAUGGUAGCCACUGAUCAGAAGACACAGCACAAUAAAAAGACCUCCCCUAUGCUUAUUUCAAUUUUUGUCAGAAAUCUCCCCGAGCCUUUAAAUUUCAAGCCAUUCAUAAUUUGGAUAGAAAAGCAAAGGUUCAAGAACCGACCAAACAAUUG